CCCUGGUAGUCCACGCCGUAAACGAUGUCGAUUUGGAGGUUGUGCCCUUGAGGCGUGGCUUCCGGAGCUAACGCGUUAAAUCGACCGCCUGGGGAGUACGGCCGCAAGGUUAAAACUCAAAUGAAUUGACGGGGGCCCGCACAAGCGGUGGAGCAUGUGGUUUAAUUCGAUGCAACGCGAAGAACCUUACCUGGUCUUGACAUCCACAGAACUUUCCAGAGAUGGAUUGGUGCCUUCGGGAACUGUGAGACAGGUGCUGCAUGGCUGUCGUCAGCUCGUGUUGUGAAAUGUUGGGUUAAGUCCCGCAACGAGCGCAACCCUUAUCCUUUGUUGCCAGCGGUCCGGCCGGGAACUCAAAGGAGACUGCCAGUGAUAAACUGGAGGAAGGUGGGGAUGACGUCAAGUCAUCAUGGCCCUUACGACCAGGGCUACACACGUGCUACAAUGGCAUAUACAAAGAGAAGCGACCUCGCGAGAGCAAGCGGACCUCAUAAAGUAUGUCGUAGUCCGGAUUGGAGUCUGCAACUCGACUCCAUGAAGUCGGAAUCGCUAGUAAUCGUAGAUCAGAAUGCUACGGUGAAUACGUUCCCGGGCCUUGUACACACCGCCCGUCACACCAUGGGAGUGGGUUGCAAAAGAAGUAGGUAGCUUAACCUUCGGGAGGGCGCUUACCACUUUGUGAUUCAUGACUGGGGUGAAGUCGUAACAAGGUAACCGUAGGGGAACCUGCGGUUGGAUCACCUCCUUACCUUAAAGAA
rnacentral:rRNA from 1 species